rnacentral:rRNA from 1 species
UACGUAGGGUGCAAGCGUUAAUCGGAAUUACUGGGCGUAAAGCGUGCGCAGGCGGUUGUGCAAGACCGAUGUGAAAUCCCCGAGCUUAACCUGGGAAUGGCAUUGGUGACUGUACGGCUAGAGUGUGUCAGAGGGGGGUAGAAUUCCACGUGUAGCAGUGAAAUGCGUAGAGAUGUGGAGGAAUACCGAUGGCGAAGGCAGCCCCCUGGGAUAACACUGACGCUCAUGCACGAAAGCGUGGGGAGCAAACAGG